UGGGGAAUUUUGGACAAUGGGGGAAACCCUGAUCCAGCCAUGCCGCGUGUCUGAAGAAGGCCUUCGGGUUGUAAAGGACUUUUGUUUGGGAGGAAAACUCACUGGUUAAUACCUAGUGAGGCUGACAGUACCAAAAGAAUAAGCACCGGCUAACUACGUGCCAGCAGCCGCGGUAAUACGUAGGGUGCAAGCGUUAAUCGGAAUUACUGGGCGUAAAGCGAGCGCAGGCGGUUUGUUAAGCCAGAUGUGAAAUCCCCGGGCUCAACCUGGGAACUGCGUUUGGAACUGGCAAGCUAGAGUGUGUUAGAGGGGGGUAGAAUUCCACGUGUAGCAGUGAAAUGCGUAGAGAUGUGGAGGAAUACCGAUGGCGAAGGCAGCCCCCUGGGAUAACACUGACGCUCAUGCUCGAAAGCGUGGGUAGCAAACA
rnacentral:rRNA from 1 species